UUUCCCGACUUCACAGCCUAUGCACUGUGAUCUGUUACUAAAAAUUUCUCCACGUUUUUGUCAGGUCGCUGACGAUGGCUACGGUGUCUCCUACAUCAUCUGCCACGAAAACACCAUAAUGUUUCACAUCUCAAGCAAAGUCUCCUCUCAUGAGACAAACUCAUCUCGAUUUGCUGAUAACAUCGAAAAAGCAAUGAUGGAUGUGAAGGACCUCUGCGAAUAUGCAAAGAAAAAAUAAUUUGAGAAAAAAACA